GAGUUCAAGAGUACGUGAAACUGCUUAGAGGUUAAGCCCGAUGAACCUGAAUAUCCAUUAUGGAAAAUUCAUCACUAAUAUUANUAUAUUUAUNAUAUUAUAGAAAUAGUGUGCAAUUUUUCCAUAUAAGGACAUUGUAAUCUGUUAUGGUAUUAAAUAUUUAUCAUAAGAUCUAUAACUUAAGUNCAUUCAAAUUAGUUAUUUUCGGAUUUCUAACAUAGAAUGANUGUGUUAGAUUUGAUUAAUCAUUGACAGAUAUAAUUAUAUAUAGUGCGUAAAUUUUUCGGAAUUUUACAAUUUAAAUUAAAUCAAUGGAUUUUAUUUACAAUUUAAAUUAAUCUAUGGAUUUUUAUAUGGAUGCACUAUAUGAUAACAUGCGAUAGAUCAGAUCCNNNUCGGACCGUCUUGAAACACGACCAAGAGCUAACAUAUGUCCAGUCAUGGUAUUUUAAUAACCCAUGCAUAAUUACUAACUGGUUAAAUGGGAUUAGUUUAUAUUUAUAUGAAAUAUAAUUCAAUCCCGGCGUCUAUAUAGUAUGCAUAAUGAUAUUAUAUAUUAUGCUCUACUAAGC
rnacentral:rRNA from 1 species